rnacentral:rRNA from 1 species
AAUUGGNCAUGGACGAAACUCUGACCCAGCCUGCCGCGUGCAGGAUGACGGCCCUAUGGGUUGUAAACUGCUUUUAUACAGGAAGAANCCCUCCCACGUGUGGGGGNNUGACGGUACUGUACGAAUAAGGANCGGCUAACUCCGUGCCAGCAGCCGCGGUAAUAU